GGCUGAGCCCAGCAAUUCCCCCUGCACAGGAGCACAACUUGUGCCCUGGGCAGUGCCCAGAGAGGGGCUGGAGUCUCCUCCUGGGGAUAUUCCACAAUAUCCACAAUCCGUGCCCUGAGGUGGCACCGGGUGAGCUCUGUGGGCCCUUCCAGCCUGAGCCAUCCCAGGGUUCUGCACCUUUCCAGAACAAGGGGACAACUUGUGACCACUGACGUGGCCCAAGGUGUUUCCAGAGACUCAUAAAUAGGUGGCUUGGAAAAAUCAUCGCUGCCCUGUGAGUCCAUCCUUGUCCAGGUGUGAAAAUGGGAGCAGAAAAUAACCCUGGAGCUGGAAAACUUCCUGUGGGCCCAGUGAGGUCCCGUGACUUCCUCUGCACAUCGGAGCUGAGGUUUCCAGGCUGUGACAAAACCUGUGAAAAACCCAGGGUCUUUGUGCCACAUGAACGUGCUCCUGCUUUUUUCCUUCGCCGGAGCGUGUCGUGAUGAAAGCGCGGCUGCGUCACCGGCGGCGUGCCUGAGAGAGCAGCCAGCCACUUCCACAAGGGUAGGAAAAGCAAAUGCCCAAGAGUUUAUGGAGUGACAGAGCCAAUUCUUGUCCUGAUUUAUUGAACCUCCAACUGGAGCACUCCGAUUCCCCUUCUGCCAAGUGAUGUCGUUGGAAUGCCGGGUUAUUUUCUCAUGCGAAAAACCAAAAAGAAGAAGAAGAAGAAGAAGAAGGAAAAAAAAAAUAAAUAAAAAAAU